ensembl:snRNA U6 U6 spliceosomal RNA
AUUCUUAAUUCAGCAGCACAUAUACUAAAAUUAGAAUGACACAGGAAAAAUUAGCACGGCCCCUGUACAAGGAUGACAUGCAAAAUUUGUGAAGCGUACUGUAUUUUU